rnacentral:rRNA from 1 species
CCCUUAGAUGUUCUGGGCCGCACGCGCGCUACACUGAUGCAUUCAACGAGUUAUUCUUUGACCUUGGUCGAAAGAUCUGGGUAAUCUUUUGAAAUUGCAUCGUGAUGGGGCUUGCGGGAUGCAACUACCCGCACCAACGAGGAAUUCCUAGUAAACGCAAGUCAACAACUUGCAUUGAUUACGUCCCUGCCCUUUGUACACACCGCCCGUCGCUCCUACCGAUUGAGCAUCCCGGUGAAGACUCAAGAGAUGUGCGUGCGGCUGGUUUCCAGCUGCGCCGCGCGUCGAAUUUGUCUAAACCUUGAUGCUUAGAGGAAGGAGAAGUCGUAACA